rnacentral:rRNA from 1 species
GGCUGGAUCCUUGAGUAGCUCGGGACACGUGUAAUCCCGGGUGAAUCUAGCAAGACCACUUGUUAAGGCUAAAUAUACUUUCGGACCGAUAGUGAACUAGUACCGUGAGGGAAAGGUGAAAAGAAGAGCGAAACGCUCAGUGAAAUAGUACCUGAAACCGUAUGUUGUCAAGCUGUGGAACCCUGAGAGCAAUCGAGGGGAACCGCGUGCCUAUUGAAGAAUGAACCGGUGAGUUGUCUUAUUCUCCAAGUCUAAGUCGCCUCAGGCGACGAAGGCGCAGUGAAAGCGAGCCUGAAUAGGGCAUUUAGGAGAAUAUGGCAGACCCGAAACCGAGUGAGCUAACCAUGUCCAGGGUGAACUCCGACGAAGGUCGGAGGGAGGCCCGAACCAGUGGCAGUGUCAAUUGCUUUGGACGAGAUGUGGUUAGUGGUGAUAUGCCUAACGAACUCGGAUAUAGCUGGUUCUCCCCGAAAUAUAUUGAGGUAUAGCCCUGUGCAAUCUUGCGAGGGGUAGAGCUCUGGAUGGAUCUAGGUGGCGUGAGCUUCUUAAUCCAAUCAAACUUCAAAUACUCGUAAGUGUAGCAGGAGUCAGUCCGAUCCGGCUAAGCGGAGCGGUCCUGAGGGAAACAACCCAGAUCGACAGUUAAGGUCCCUAAAUACAGACUAAGUGUCAAAGGAUGUAGAGUCCCUUAGACAGCCAGGAAGUUGGCUUAGAAGCAGCCAUCUUUUAAAGAAAGCGUAACAGCUCGCUGGUCUACUACGGGGCUCUGCGCCGACAACGAAUCGGGGCUCAAGUCUGUUACCGAAACUACGAAUUCCGCCGAAAGGCGAGAGUGGUAGGGGAGCGUUCCAAAUGCGGUGAAGCGGAACCGUAAGGUUGCGUGGAGCGUUUGGAAGUGAGAAUGCCGGUAUGAGUAGCGUAUUGAUGUGAAAAACAUCAUCGCCGAAUGCCCAAGGUUUUCUCCGCUAUGUUAAUCAGCGGAGAGUUAGUCGGCACCUAAGACGAGGCCGGAUGGCGUAGUCGAUGGAUAACCCGUUAAAAUUCGGGUACUUAAAGCUUUUCGAUUGAAAGCUUUACGGGUGGACAAAGUGGGAAUAGUCCAGCCCGCCUCUCAGCCGCUUUGCGGCAGUGAGGGCGGGUUUAAGUAACAAGGAAGUGGAGGUAGGCAAAUCCGCCUCUAGUCUCCCGAGUAAUCGGGGGGACACUCCGAUAGCGCAAGUUAUCGGAGCGCAUAUUCGAGUUACGAAUACGAAAGUGGAUGAUUUUCUGUUUUCAGGAAAAGACUCGUAAAGGGGAAAGUUUUAGCCGUACCAUAAACCGACACAGGUGGGCGAGUUGAGUAUACAAAGGCGAUCGGGAUAACUAUCCUUAAGGAACUCGGCAAUACAACUGGACGUAAGUUAGCAAGAUGUCCUUCCCGAUGCAUAAUCGGGACGCAGUAAACGACGCUGAGCGACUGUUUAACAAAAACACAGGUCCGUGCUAAAGCGAAAGCUGAUGUAUACGGGCUGACACCUGCCCAGUGCCAGUAAUUUAAAAUUUCUUUUGACUCUUGAGGAGUAAUUCUUGAGAUGAGGAAGGGGUCUAAGAUCUGGUGAACGGCAGCAGUAACUAUAACUGUUCUAAGGUAGCGAAGUUCCUUGUCUGGUGAAUGAAUUCGCCAGUUGAUCGAGUAAUUGAUCAAACAAAUUCGGCUAAUAUCGGUGAAGCCCAUUGAUUUUCGUGUUAUCUUCGGAUAAUAUGGAAUUAGGGGUAAUACCGAGGGAAGUCUUUGUGACCCCGUAACGACUAAUAAUAAAGGUACCAGAUAGUCUGGAUUUAAACUUUAUUUAUAUGCCGACGCUUAAUAAUUUAGGAUAUUAUCUUUCUGGUUUUACUGAUGGAGAAGGCAGUUUUUGCGUUUAUUUUUCUCCUCGAGGUCGAAUGACUUUAGGGUGGGAGGUAAGAGCAAGCUUUUCUGUUGGGCAAAACACUUCAAGGCCUGAAGUUUUGAAUCUAUUUUUACGAUAUUUUAAGUGUGGAAGUGUGCGACCUAAUAGAGGUGAUAAUACUGUGAAGUUUGAAAUUCGCAGUUUGAAGCCAUUAUUAGAAGUUGUAAUUCCUCAUUUUAAAAAAUAUCCACUACUUUCUAGUAAGAGAAAUGAUUUUGAUAAGUUUGCUACUGUCUGUAGUCUACUUUCACAGAAUCAGCACCUUACUUUAGAGGGAUUUAAAAGAAUUGUAGAUUUAGCAUUUGAAAUGAAUGGAUUUGGAGCGAGAAGAUACCAGAAACGAUAUAUUUUAGACUCACUUAAGAUGAAGAUAUAGUCUAAUCCUACUAGUAAUAGUAGAAGAGCGAUGGAGUUCAGACCCGCACGAACGGUAGAACGACUUAGCGACUGUCUUGAGGAUAGACCCGGCGAAAUUGCAGUGGCUGUGAAGAUGCGGCCUUCCCAUACUUGGACAAAAAGACCCCGUGGAGCUUUACUGUAGCUUGACCCUGAUUUGAAAACUUAAUUGUGUAGCGUAGGAGGGAGCCUCGGCACCAAUGAAACACCUCUCUUUUAAGUUUUUAAGUCUCUAGCCUCGCCCAUUAUCUGGGCGGGUAACAAGGUCUGGCGGGCAGUUUAACUGGGGCGGUUGCCUCCAAAAGAGUAACGGAGGCGUACAAAGGUACACUUAAGCUCAAUGGCAACGAGCUUUAAAGCGCAAAAGUAUAAAGUGUGCUUGACUGUGAGACGUACAUGUCGAGCAGGUGCGAAAGCAGGUUUUAGUGAUCCUCUGAUGGCUUGUGGGAGCGUCAGAGCUUAUCGGAUAAAAGUUACCCCGGGGAUAACAGGCUAGUCUUACCCAACAGUCCACAAGGACGGUAAGGUUCGGCACCUUAAAUAACAUCGGGGUGUGGUGGGAGUAAUCCCAUUAGUCUGUUUAU